AAAUGCGAUAAGUAAUGUGAAUUGCAGAAUUCAGUGAAUCAUCGAAUCUUUGAACGCACCUUGCGCUCCUUGGUAUUCCUUGGAGCAUGCCUGUUUGAGUAUCAUGAAAUCUUCAAAGUAAAUCUUUUGUUAACUCAAUUGGUUUUUACUUUGGUAUUGGAGGUCUUUGCAGCUUCACACCUGCUCCUCUUUGUUCAUUAGCUGGAUCUCAGUGUUAUGCUUGGUUCCACUCGGCGUGAUAAGUUAUCUAUCGCUGAGGACACUGUAAAAGGUGGCCAAGGUAAAUGCAGAUGAACCGCUUCUAAUAGUCCAUUGACUUGGACAAUACUUUUAUGAUCUGAUCUCAAAUCAGGUAGGACUACCCGCUGAACUUAAGC
rnacentral:misc_RNA from 1 species